CGAGGAUCGGUGCGAGGAUCAUCUGACACAAAAAUAAACCAAACGACUGCCCAGAGGCAACCAGCACCUCCUGACACAGAGACGGAGAAAAAACCUUUUAUUGAACAAGGUGAUGUAGAAGACAGCGGGCCAGCCUAAAGUCUGGCAGAUGUAGCCGGUGAGCGGCAGAGCCAAAAAGGCCCCGAAGUUGGCCCCAGAUCCCGACAGGGUCAUCAGGCGAGAGCGCUCCAGAGGAGGAGCCCACCGAGCCCACAUCGCCAUCAUGGCCGGGAACGUCACACCCUUUGAGAUGGAGACAGGCAGUCAGAUGGGCAGAGAGUGAGACAGGCAUCCAUAGCAGAGUGUGGAUGUGUAGCAAAUUUCAAAUGUUUCCUCUGCAUUAAUACAUCUGGGAUGGUGCAAAAUAAAGCUGAAAUGAUCAGGUUGUGAAUCAAUUAGUACAGUGUUUAGGUACUUUAAUACAUUAAUUAUGCAAUAUCAUAUAUAAUUCCUAAAAAAAGUGUAAUAUAAGUUCAAUAAACCACAUUUUAUAUUCAAUAUUUCGAUUUUUAAAGAUCCUCAGUGAAGCACAAGUAAGUGCAACUUAUCAAAAGAGACACAGUUCAAUGCAACAACAACGCUGUUAAUAAGUUAUAUAAGUAUUUUUCUUAAUAAAUCAGACCCUGAUGGCCCAGCGCUGUGA